ensembl:lncRNA
AUGGUGACCGAGGGGGCAGAGGUGAUACCUGCCAACAGAAGCAGAGCGGCCGCCCGGGCUCCGGCCCUGUCUUGCCCUCAGCACUUGCCGCCCUGCGCGCGAUUCCGCAGGAAACCCACCCACACCGUGGGCGCACACGGGGAAAUCGGAGGCAAGGAGAGUAUCGCCAGCGUUUCUCCCAAACGAAGCCACAUCGCCCCACGGACGCUGGCAGUUGUGGGUUCCCAGCAGCACAGAGGUUCCCGUAGAGCCCCGGCCCCGGCGCAGCUCAGCCACCCGACCAUGUACCUCCGCGGACGCACCCGUCACCCAGCGCCCAUAGUCCACCUCGGGGUCACCCUUGGGGUCGCACGUUCUAGGACUCGGGACAAACGUAAGAAGACGAGUGUCCACCAUCACGGCAUCGGGAUGACUCUUUUUCAGAACUCCGUGUUCCUCUCCGUGUCCGUGUCUCUCCUCCCUCCCACCCACUGGUGCCCCGACAUUUACUGUCGUCAGAGCUCGGCCUUUUGCAGAACAUCACACAGUCGGGAUCGCACGGCCUGUGGCCUUUUCAAAUCGAUUUCCGCCGCUUACUCGUGUGCAUUUAAAUUCCCUCCACGCCUUCGCACCGCAGCUUGAAGCUCGCUUCUUUCUCGCACGGAGUCGGGUUCUGGUCUCGGGUACCUGCACUCACCUCCCGGGGGGGGGCCCUGUCCCCCGGGCUGGCGACCGUGAGUAAAGCCGGUAGGAACCUCCAGUGCAGGGCUCUGUGUGGACGUGACUUUCUGACUUUCGGGGUCAACACCGCGGAGCGCGGUUUGCAGACCACUUGGUGAGGGUGUUUGCUCCUGUGAGAAGCCGCCGCACUGUCUUCCACGGGGGCUGCACCACUGGGCCUCCCGCGGCCCCACGGCGCCCCGGGUGUCAUCUGAGGGCCCGACUGGGGCCGGCAGGGAAGCAUGUCGCGCCGUCUCACCGCUGUUUUAACAACGUUCGUGAACAGAAUGUUAAACGUCCUGAUACUAAGAAAAAAAAAUGGGAAAAACCACAUUCUACUGAAUCGUAUUGGGCGCAGCGAGAUCACUGAUACUCCCAGAGCCUCGGCUCGUGGGUUCAAAGUGACGUAACGAUAGUGCGUCCCGCGGGGGUUUUGUAAAGACAGGACGCGGCGAUGUGGAGUGGCUGCCACGGUGCAAACUGCUGAACACAGGUGUCUGCGGGCACGGCGCCGUCUGGGCAGCCACACUGUCCCCGGCGAGGGUGUUUCUGAGGACCUUGGGAGAGAACGAUGGGGAAACGCCCUGCGGCCCCGAACUCACCCCCCACCUCCCAUUCAACCGUCCCGGGGGACAGCGGGGCCAUCCAGGCUGUGGCGGAGGCGCAGGCGCAGGCUCGGGGGCUCUGGGCCGGUGCCCCUCCGGGGCCGGGGCUGCUGACGGGCCUCCGUGGGGUGGCGUGGCCGCGCCUCGGGUGACUCCACGGGAGCGCAGCAGACUCUGAGUCACCGGCACGUGCGGCUGUCGCAGGCCGAGGACGAUGUGGUCAUCGGGCCGCAUGUAAAUCAUCCAAUUUCCUCGUCUUUGUGAGCCGGGCGCCUGCGGGAGGCCGUGCAUCUGCUGCUUCUCCGCCAGCAAGAGCC